rnacentral:rRNA from 1 species
GUCCACGCCCUAAACGAUGAUGACUAGUUGUUGGAGGAGUUAAAUCCUUUAGUAACGCAGCUAACGCGAGAAGUCAUCCGCCUGGGGGAGUACGGUCGCAAAGAUUAAAAACUCAAAAGGAAUUGACGGGGGCCCGCACAAGCGGUGGAUGAUGUGGUUUAAUUCGACGCAACGCGAAAACCUUACCUACCCUUGACAUGUACGGAACCUCAUAGAGAUGUGAGGGUGCCCGAAAGGGAGCCGUAACACAGGUGCUGCAUGGCUGUCGU